UACGAAGGGGGCUAGCGUUGCUCGGAAUCACUGGGCGUAAAGCGCACGUAGGCGGCUUUCUAAGUCAGGGGUGAAAUCCUGGAGCUCAACUCCAGAACUGCCCUUGAUACUGGCGGUCUCGAGUCCGGGAGAGGUGAGUGGAACUGCGAGUGUAGAGGUGAAAUUCGUAGAUAUUCGCAAGAACACCAGUGGCGAAGGCGGCUCACUGGCCCGGUACUGACGCUGAGGUGCGAAAGCGUGGGGAGCAAACAGG
rnacentral:rRNA from 1 species